UACGUAGGGUGCAAGCGUUAAUCGGAAUUACUGGGCGUAAAGCGUGCGCAGGCCGCCAUGUAAGACAGAUGUGAAAUCCCCGGGCUUAACCUGGGAACUGCAUUUGUGACUGCAUGGCUAGAGUACGGCAGAGGGGGAUGGAAUUCCGCGUGUAGCAGUGAAAUGCGUAGAUAUGCGGAGGAACACCGAUGGCGAAGGCAAUCCCCUGGGCCUGUACUGACGCUCAUGCACGAAAGCGUGGGGAGCAAACAGG
rnacentral:rRNA from 1 species